AGGGAAUCUUCCGCAAUGGACGAAAGUCUGACGGAGCAACGCCGCGUGAGCGAUGAAGGUCUUCGGAUCGUAAAGCUCUGUUGUUAGGGAAGAACAAGUGCCGGAGUAACUGUCGGCACCUUGACGGUACCUAACCAGAAAGCCACGGCUAACUACGUGCCAGCAGCCGCGGUAAUACGUAGGUGGCAAGCGUUGUCCGGAAUUAUUGGGCGUAAAGCGCGCGCAGGCGGUCCUUUAAGUCUGAUGUGAAAUCUUGCGGCUCAACCGCAAGCGGUCAUUGGAAACUGGGGGACUUGAGUGCAGGAGAGGAAAGCGGAAUUCCAUGUGUAGCGGUGAAAUGCGUAGAGAUAUGGAGGAACACCAGUGGCGAAGGCGGCUUUCUGGCCUGUAACUGACGCUGAGGCGCGAAAGCGUGGGGAGCAAAC
rnacentral:rRNA from 1 species